UUGUGAUGCUGUUGUUUCUGUCUCUGACAACAUCAGCGUUUCAUCUGAAUCAAGCAAAUUCUGCGGAUUAGCCAAGAUGACUGCUUGUCCAUCUGGCAUCCCAGCUUCUGAAAGCCCCUCUGACCUUGGGCAGGGUGCAAGCAAACAAGAGGAAGCAACUGGGACAGCACAAUGCACCAUGCAGAGACUUGCUUCAGUUCCAACUCUAAGGAAAGAAUGCCAAUUUUCGUCAAAAUAAGAAAAUCACUACAAGAAAUAAUUAGUGCAACUUCAAACAGCACGCAAGGAGAAAAAUACAUUUCUGUAAUAGACGGC